CAAAGGUAACAUUGGGAAAAUUAUAUUACAUAUCCCAAAGGUAACAUUGUGAAAAUUAUAUUACACAUCACAAAGGUAACAUUGGGAAAAUUAUAUUACACAUCCCAAAGGUAACAUUGGGAAAAUU